rnacentral:piRNA from 1 species
UGCAAAUUGGGCAAAUCCCAGGACUCAUUAGU